rnacentral:rRNA from 1 species
CUACGCUGAACCAGCAAUUUGGAAGAAUGUAUAGCAAUAGCUGAUUGCACCAACAAACAGUUGAUGCAAAAUUGAUUAUAUCAAAUAAAAUUCUAGGUAGAUUUUUGAUAAUGACAUUGCUUACCUAAGUCUUGACCAAAUUACGUGCCAGCAGUCGCGGUAAUACGUAAAAGACUAGUGUUAUUCAUCUUUAAUUGGUUUAAAGGGUACCUAGACAGCGAAUAAAGCCAUAGUAGGGACUAAUUCGCUAGAGUUACUUAUGAGGGGGUAUUAAAGUACUGCAGGUGUAGAGAUGAAAUUUUGUUAUACCUCUUUUCGUAUGAGAAACUAUGGCACAGGUAUAGGUGAAAGCAUCCCCUUAUGUGAUAACUGACGUUGAGGGACGAAGGCUUUGUGUCGCGAACAGGAUUAGAUACCCCCGUAGUCAAAGCAGAAAAUGAUGAAUGUCAUAGAUUAGAUAUACAAUUUAUUCUAUAAAUGAAAGUGUAAGCAUUCCACCUCAAGAGUAAUUUGGCAACAUUGGAACUGAAAUCAUUAGACCGUUUCUGAAACCAGUAGUGAAGUAUGUUGUUUAAUUUGAUGAUACGCAAAAAACCUUACCACAAUUUGAAUAUUUAUAUAUAUCUUUUAUUGAUUUUUACUUACAUAUAUGUAAAUAAUUAAAAUGAUGCUUAAAUCUCGUUUGUGAGACUGAGCAUGAAAAAAGAUAAUAUAUUUACAAGCGUUGCACGGCUGUCUUCAGUUAAUGUCGUGAGAUUUUGGUUAGUUCCAUUAAAUUAACGUAAACCCUUACUUUAUUUUUAUAUAAAGUAGUUCCCCGCUAUAUAGGAUAUGAUAACAGGGACUAAGACAAGUCAUCAUGGCCUGAAUAUUGUGGGCUAUAGACGUGCCACAUAAACCUUACAAAAGGAUGUG